UCCCCGUUUCACAGGGCAGUCUGAACAGAGUGCUCGGACCUCACGGUCCGGUGGCAACAGUUCACAAGGGUUGCGCUCGUUGCGGGACUUAACCCAACAUCUCACGACACGAGCUGACGACAGCCAUGCAGCACCUGUGCAAGUUGUGUAUUGCUACACUCGCUGGCUUUCACCAACUUAGAAAUGCAUGUCAAGGCUUGGUAAGGUUCUUCGCGUUGCAUCGAAUUAAGCCACAUACUCCACCGCUUGUGCGGGCCCCCGUCAAUUUCUUUGAGUUUUAAUCUUGCGACCGUACUCCCCAGGCGGCACGUUUAACGCGUUAGCUCCGGCACGGAAGGGGUCGAAUCCUCCCACACCAAACGUGCACCGUUUACUGCCAGGACUAC
rnacentral:misc_RNA from 1 species